rnacentral:rRNA from 1 species
CCUAGGGCGGCAGCAGUGGGGAAUAUUGGACAAUGGGCGAAAGCCUGAUCCAGCCAUGCCGCGUGUGUGAAGAAGGCCUUCGGGUUGUAAAGCACUUUCAGUGGGGAAGAAAGCCUUGGGGCUAAUACCCUCGAGGAAGGACAUCACCCACAGAAGAAGCACCGGCUAACUCCGUGCCAGCAGCCGCGGUAAUACGGAGGGUGCGAGCGUUAAUCGGAAUUACUGGGCGUAAAGCGCGCGUAGGCGGUCUGAUAAGCCGGUUGUGAAAGCCCCGGGCUCAACCUGGGAACGGCAUCCGGAACUGUCAGGCUAGAGUGCAGGAGAGGAAGGUAGAAUUCCCGGUGUAGCGGUGAAAUGCGUAGAGAUCGGGAGGAAUACCAGUGGCGAAGGCGGCCUUCUGGACUGACACUGACGCUGAGGUGCGAAAGCGUGGGUAGCAAACAGGAUUAGAUACCCUGGUAGUC